rnacentral:tRNA from 1 species
GGGCGAAUGGCGGAAUUGGCAUACGCGUACGGCUUAGAACCGUAUCUCGCAAGGGGUGAGGGUUCAAGUCCCUCUUCGCCCACCA